rnacentral:rRNA from 1 species
AUAUGUAGGGGGCGAGCGUUGUCCGGAUUUACUGGGCGUAAAGGGUGGGUAGGCGGUUAUAUAUGUCAGGUGUAAAAAGCUAUGGCUUAACCAUAGUAAGCACUUGAAACUGUAUGACUUGAGUGCAGGAGAGGUAAGCGGAAUUCCUAGUGUAGCGGUGAAAUGCGUAGAUAUUAGGAGGAACACCGGUGGCGAAGGCGGCUUACUGGACUGUAACUGACGCUGAGUCACGAAAGCGUGGGUAGCAAACAGGAUUAGAUACCCUGGUAGUCCACGCCGUAAACGAUGAGUGCUAGGUGUUGGGCAGCAAUGCUCAGUGCCGAAGUAAACACAAUAAGCACUCCGCCUGGGGAGUACGUACGCAAGUAUGAAACUCAAAUGAAUUGGCGGGG